rnacentral:rRNA from 1 species
AGAGUUUGAUCCUGGCUCAGAUUGAACGCUGGCGGCAUGCCUUACACAUGCAAGUCGAACGGCAGCACGGGGGCAACCCUGGUGGCGAGUGGCGAACGGGUGAGUAAUAUAUCGGAACGUGCCCUAGAGUGGGGGAUAACGUAGCGAAAGUUACGCUAAUACCGCAUACGAUCUACGGAUGAAAGCGGGGGAUCGCAAGACCUCGCGCUCAUGGAGCGGCCGAUAUCUGAUUAGCUAGUUGGUGAGGUAAAAGCUCACCAAGGCGACGAUCAGUAGCUGGUCUGAGAGGACGACCAGCCACACUGGGACUGAGACACGGCCCAGACUCCUACGGGAGGCAGCAGUGGGGAAUUUUGGACAAUGGGGGCAACCCUGAUCCAGCAAUGCCGCGUGAGUGAAGAAGGCCUUCGGG